UGUUUGAUGUUCUAACGUGGACCCGUGAUCCGGGUUGCGGACAGUGUCUGGUGGGUAGUUUGACUGGGGCGGUCUCCUCCUAAAGAGUAACGGAGGAGCACGAAGGUUGGCUAAUCCUGGUCGGACAUCAGGAGGUUAGUGCAAUGGCAUAAGCCAGCUUGACUGCGAGCGUGACGGCGCGAGCAGGUGCGAAAGCAGGUCAUAGUGAUCCGGUGGUUCUGAAUGGAAGGGCCAUCGCUCAACGGAUAAAAGGUACUCCGGGGAUAACAGGCUGAUACCGCCCAAGAGUUCAUAUCGACGGCGGUGUUUGGCACCUCGAUGUCGGCUCAUCACAUCCUGGGGCUGAAGUAGGUCCCAAGGGUAUGGCUGUUCGCCAUUUAAAGUGGUACGCGAGCUGGGUUUAGAACGUCGUGAGACAGUUCGGUCCCUAUCUGCCGUGGGCGCUGGAGAA
rnacentral:rRNA from 1 species